GAAUCUUCCGCAAUGGGCGAAAGCCUGACGGAGCAACGCCGCGUGAGUGAUGAAGGUUUUCGGAUCGUAAAGCUCUGUUGCCAAGGAAGAACGUCUUCUAGAGUAACUGCUAGGAGAGUGACGGUACUUGAGAAGAAAGUCCCGGCUAACUACGUGCCAGCAGCCGCGGUAAUACGUAGGGGGCAAGCGUUGUCCGGAAUUAUUGGGCGUAAAGCGCGCGCAGGCGGUUCUUUAAGUCUGGUGUUUAAACCCGAGGCUCAACUUCGGGUCGCACUGGAAACUGGGGGACUUGAGUGCAGAAGAGGAGAGUGGAAUUCCACGUGUAGCGGUGAAAUGCGUAGAUAUGUGGAGGAACACCAGUGGCGAAGGCGACUCUCUGGGCUGUAACUGACGCUGAGGCGCGAAAGCGUGGGGAGCAAACAGGA
rnacentral:misc_RNA from 1 species